rnacentral:rRNA from 1 species
CUACUCCUACGGGAGGCAGCAGUAGGGAAUCUUCCGCAAUGGACGAAAGUCUGACGGAGCAACGCCGCGUGAGUGAUGAAGGCUUUCGGGUCGUAAAACUCUGUUGUUAGGGAAGAACAAGUGCUAGUUGAAUAAGCUGGCACCUUGACGGUACCUAACCAGAAAGCCCGACUGCGCUAACUACGUGCCAGCAGCCGCGGUAUAAAA